UUGCUCCUAUUUCUCAGCGGCGGACGGGUGAGUAACACGUGGGCAACCUGCCCUGCAGACUGGGAUAACUCCGGGAAACCGGAGCUAAUACCGGGUAAUACAUAGCAUCGCAUGAUGCAACGUUGAAAGUUGGCUUUCGAGCUAACACUGUAGGAUGGGCCCGCGGCGCAUUAGCUAGUUGGUAAGGUAAUGGCUUACCAAGGCAACGAUGCGUAGCCGACCUGAGAGGGUGAUCGGCCACACUGGGACUGAGACACGGCCCAGACUCCUACGGGAGGCAGCAGUAGGGAAUCUUCCGCAAUGGACGAAAGUCUGACGGAGCAACGCCGCGUGAGUGACGAAGGCCUUCGGGUCGUAAAGCUCUGUUGUUAGGGAAGAACAAGUACCGUUCGAAUAGGGCGGUACCUUGACGGUACCUAACCAGAAAGCCACGGCUAACUACGUGCCAGCAGCCGCGGUAAUACGUAGGUGGCAAGCGUUGUCCGGAAUUAUUGGGCGUAAAGCGCGCGCAGGCGGUCUCUUAAGUCUGAUGUGAAAGCCCACGGCUCAACCGUGGAGGGCCAUUGGAAACUGGGGGACUUGAGUGCAGAAGAGGAGAGUGGAAUUCCACGUGUAGCGGUGAAAUGCGUAGAUAUGUGGAGGAACACCAGUGGCGAAGGCGGCUCUCUGGUCUGUAACUGACGCUGAGGCGCGAAAGCGUGGGGAGCGAACAGGAUUAGAUACCCUGGUAGUCCACGCCGUAAACGAUGAGUGCUAGGUGUUGGGGGGGUUCCACCCUCAGUGCUGAAGUUAACACAUUAAGCACUCCGCCUGGGGAGUACGACCGCAAGGUUGAAACUCAAAGGAAUUGACGGGGGCCC
rnacentral:rRNA from 1 species